UUUCCUAACUGUGCAUAUGACAAAUAACAACUUUGACCUUGAUGGGUGUCCUGUAGCAAGUGGUGUAGAGCUACAUAUAACAAGGUGGUGCCAUAAGGUGGCGCAGUUUGAUAACCUCAAUUCUCUUCAGUGACUCCUCAAACUCCUCUUCUCCCUAAAUUGCUUUUCACAUGUAGUCCUGGUACACACAUUCACAGCACACAGAGUAUUUAAGCUGCACGGUCAGAAUAAUUUCAGCAGUAAAUGAUUAAUAUCAAGCUGUGACCAACUAGCAGGAUUGGCAGUUUUUGCCAGGUCACCAAACUCAGUGCUCCUGGCCAUGCAGAUAGAAUCCAUCACAAUGACCUUGCCAAGUUUGUGUAUAGUGUGUGCUCCUUUUUUGUGCAUGGUACAAAUGUCUGUGUGCAUCUAAUAGCAUAUUUUUUUAAUUCAUCAGCUUUGAUACUGUGGAGCUCGGGGCCAAGGAUCUGCCUGCCUCUGUGAGGCGGUGAGAGAUGGGGCUGAGCAGACCCACCCCAGACCUCUUCAGCCUCCCUGACGUACCCAUUAGGGACACGUGCUUGCACUAAUAUUUCAUCAUAUUUACCUCAGCAUAGAAGAUGUAAAACCUGUCCAACGCAAAAUAUCCUCCUUUUGCUGUGUUCUUCCCUGUAGUCUCUGUAAUCUGACUGUAGUCGUGUAAACGGAUUUCCAUACAUAGUUUAGAAAGAGUCCUGUUACAAUAAAACAUUGUUUAGACUGUGUACACUAAGUGUGAUCAUAUCACAAAGAGAAGUGAGUAGUCUGGAGUGGGGAAAUUUAUUUUUUUAUUGCAGUUUUUAAUUUUUUUUAUUGAAUACCAGUCAAUUCUUGUGUGUGAGCGUGUAUGUGUCUUUGUGUAUGGCAUGUAGACGACAGAGUUUAAAGUUGUACAUUAGUAAACACCUGCUGAUGUGUCCUUGACACUCAGACUACCCGUAGCUGUGGAGAGGCUUUAGACUGGGGCAACAUUUUUUUCCUCAAGGGCUUAUGAAAUUCUAACAGUCAAAUUGAACCGGUAGUGAAGAGUCUGUCAUAACCACUGUGUGUUGACUUGUGUACCAGAUGCCAACUGUCCAACAAACCACGCUGUGUGUCAGUGUGCGACACGACAUGGCUUAUUGCUGUUGACUCCCAGCGGGUGCCGACAAGUGGCCCAGACACUGGCUUCGCUCUACUGGAGGUUGUCGCCAUGGAGAAGAGUGAGGUCAGUUAAUUGUAAACUGGAUACUAAUUAUGUGUAGUGGCUAUGUCCUUUGCAAAUGAAAAACUUGCACAAACAAAAUGCUAAGGUCUCUCCACUGUGGUUUUUGCUUCCGUCCAGGGUUUUGUCCCUGUACAGUGUUGGGGGGCCAAGUCAGCCUAUGUUCCCUAUGUCAUAGGGUAUUGUUCCAGGACAACCCUGGACAAUAGUUUCACAUUUGUGCAGCUGUCUUUGUGAGGACUGUCAGCGACAUAAUGCAUUCUUUAGCCCCUUAACCUAAUUCUAACCUUAACCCGAAAACCAAGUUUUCAGGUUUCAAACAGCCCUUUGAAGGUGGUGAGAAAAUGAGGACUGGCCAAAGUGUCCUCAUUCCCAUGGUCUUGAAACUCAAUGGCCCUGACAGUGUAUAGUCCUGCAAGUACAAACACACACACACACACUCCCUCAGGCCCAUAUCCUUCCUCUUCACUGCACACUCUUGUAACCUCUCCACUGUUUGUUUCUUUAGUCUCUCUUUCUCAUCAGUCCUCUUUCACAUCACUUUUUCAUUCUGCAGUGUUUGUGUUGCUGGAGUUAGAGCUGGGAUGUGAGAUCAGCACUCUAAAACCUCAUCUGUCCACUGCUCAGAAUGACUUCUCUGCCCUUUGCUAUCGAUCCUCCUGUCCCAGUCUGCACAUGCAGCAAAUCAGUUAAUUUCCCAGGGUCCAUCACAGCUGAUCUCAAACAUACCAGACACUGCCCUACCUGUUGGGAUUCCACUGUUCUGGCCAGCCCUCGGCCCGGGGUGGAUCUUGUGGGGAUGGCUGCCAAGGACAUGCACUUAUCUCUCAAGGUGUGUUCCACACAAAUAUACACAGGCAAACACAUACACACAGCCUUUUAAAAACUCUUUAAUAAGCCUUAGACUGUAUUUAGUCUUACAAGUGCGUAAAAGCAAAUUCAAUUACUGAACAUGAAAUCUGUGCAUUUAGAGCGUUGACAUGAAUUUAUUCCAUUUACUGACAGUCUGGGGGCCUUUAUCAGCUGAUAUUCUCUGUAGACGUCUCAUUUUGAUAGUUGAAAUAAAAGGUUCACUUUAGUUAAGAGUCAAUGUCAAUGUUAAAAUUCAACUUGGUAUCGUCCGCUGAGAGUUCUGACCCAUAGUAACCUAAUGCCUUUUAACCUAAUACGUGAUUUAAGUCACACUUGUGUUAAGAGAAAGACGAGAAGUGGGAGUAGAGAUGACAAGCAACUUGACUAUUAGUACACCAACUAAUAAAUGAUGCUAAGUGUUUGCAUUAAACAAAUUGGUUUCAAAUAAUCUAUCAAUAAUAGGAAAUAAUGUAUAGUCCAAAGAAACUGUUGCCAAAAAUCACUGGACACUCACCUGCACUCAGGUAGUGCAUAGAUUUCUUGGUCAGGUUUUAGGCUUGUGAUACAGUAACUGUCCUAAAACUGCUCCCUAAUCUUGUCAUUCCUAAGGUAAUCUGUUGGAGUAAACAAUCUAAGUUGCAUACUAAGUGGUGGCUGUAAUUAAGGUGUAUUAAGAAAAACCGAGUACAUUAAAUUGGAUGUAGUACAUCAUCCUGCCUUAGCCAUUAACCAGGAAGCACAUCAGAAUCACAUUUUCCAUGAUUUUAUUUGAAAGCCACAUCCAGUAUACAAGCAAGAAAUUUAGUGUCAGUCACCAUAGUAACAAAGUUAGUCUCUCUGAUUUGUCUGUACUGUCACAGACUCUGCAAAUGGCCCACAAGCAUAAUAAAAGCUUUGCGCUGACUGUAGGUUACAAAUCUUACAUUAGUUUGACUCCUCAAGCCAUCCCCAAUCUUCCCAGUGAUUUUUGUGUGUGUGUGUGUGUGUGUGUGUGUCUGUAAUUUCACAUGAAUUCAUCCCACAUAUCGUUUUCACAGGAAGCUUGCAAGCACAUGUAAAUUCAGAAGUAAUGUUCAUUAAGUCGUUUCACUGUGACAUCACUGUGUAGUUUGUGGUUUUACAAGCAACAGGAAACGAAGCACAGCCAACGAUGCCUUUCCUUCAAUCGACCCUCAUUCCGAGUGAGCGAGCAGACUGGGUCCUGGUGCCACUGGCUUUGGAGCAGGGGCUGAUGGCAUCAUUGCCCAUGUACCUUAAACACUGACCUCACUGUGGCAUCAACUUAGAAAGUGUAUCUGAAUUGUGUGGAUUUAUUGUUAACUAACACAAUCGAUACUCAAUUAUGCAGAGUGCAGCUUUUACAUUGUAAAAUUUAGCAGUCAAGGACAGUUUCUUGGAUGUAAUCUGAAUUUUCAGCCACAGUUAAUGUCCCAUCUUCCUAGAACUGGUUCUGCAAGGUUCACCUCCUCGCCCUGUAAAAUAUUUGUGCUUAAUUAUCGAAGCGGGUAAGGCAAGCAAAGGAUAGCUGCCACAAAAAACUGCUUAGGCCACAAAUCUCUUGUUGAAAGUCCAGAUCUUUACCAGCUUUUUUUUUUUUUUUUUUUUUUU